GACAGAGGGGGCAAGCGUUGCUCGGAAUUACUGGGCGUAAAGGGCGCGUAGGCGGGAUGGCAAGUCGGUCGUGAAAUCCCUCGGCUCAACCGAGGAACGUCGAUCGAUACUGCUGUUCUUGAGGAUUGCAGAGGAGACUGGAAUUCCCGGUGUAGCGGUGAAAUGUGUAGAGAUCGGGAGGAACACCGGUGGCGAAGGCGGGUCUCUGGGCAAUUCCUGACGCUGAGGAGCGAAAGCCAGGGGAGCAAACGGG
rnacentral:rRNA from 1 species